CAGCACAAAAUUAUGUGCAUAAUGGGUUCUAAUUAUACACUUACUGGAUUAAUUGAUAAAAUAUUUCCCAAAUAUCCCAAAAUUUCACAGUUCAGAAGUUUGCCAUGUCUACUCUAGGUCCAGCAUUUCUUACUAGUGGUUAUAUUCUUCAGUCAUACUCAGCUCAUUAAAAGCAGGGUGAUUUCUUGGGCUUUGUGGGGAGGGAGCAGAAUGAAAGGUUUAAAAUGUGAGAGAAGGUUGAUACAAGGGAGGCUUUUUAUGUAUGAGGUGGAGGAGGUGCUUGGAAAGAUCUGAGAGCAGCCUCUAGGAGCUCAGAGUGACCUGUACCCAGUAGCCAACAAGAAGACAAGUAACCCGUGCUACCACCACAGGGAACAGGAUUCAGUCAGCAACCUUAGUAAAUGUUAAAGCAAUGUUUUCCUCACAGCUUUUAGAUAGGAGCCCAGCCUAGUUAACACAUCAGCCUCAAUCUGUGAGACACUGAGAAUCCAGCUGACCCUGGGGAGACUAUAAACCUAAAUAACUCAGAGACAAUACGUGGCUAUUGUUUUAAGCAGCUAAGUUGGUGGUAAUUUGCUAUGUAGCAAGAAAAAAAACUAAUAAAAGGGGUUAUCAAAAAUUAGUGAGCAUGUAUUAAAACUACCACUGUAGUUAAUUUUAGUGAAGAUACUUUGAG
rnacentral:lncRNA from 1 species